AGGCUUAUAGAAUAUCCGAUAAUGUUCCAAAUGGUUCAAUGGUGAAAAUUAUGAUUUAAAGUUAAUGAGAAAAGUAUGACAGUGUUAUGAGUGGUACAAGUAUCUAUUUGGUAUGUAGGAAAUGUGAGCUCAAUAUAUGCUAUAUGACGUGUAGUGAAUAUUAAUGAGUAAGUUUUGCUCAUGCCUAUUUGUGUAUUCUGAUGCUUGACGAUGAAUGGUAAAAUUAUGUUGUAUAUUUAUUUAUGUGCAACUUACUAAGCUUUAUGCUUACUCCCUCUCUUUUUCCAUUUUUUUAUAGCGCCG
rnacentral:lncRNA from 1 species